rnacentral:rRNA from 1 species
UAAACGCGUAGGUAACCUGCCUGGUAGCGGGGGAUAACUAUUGGAAACGAUAGCUAAUACCGCAUGACAACAGUUAUUGCAUGAUAACUGUUUAAAAGGGGCAACUGCUCCACUACCAGAUGGACCUGCGUUGUAUUAGCUAGUUGGUGAGGUAACGGCUCACCAAGGCGACGAUACAUAGCCGACCUGAGAGGGUGAUCGGCCACACUGGGACUGAGACACGGCCCAG